GGAUGGUUGGUUCAUACUGAUGGUUGGUUCAUACGGAUGGUUGGUUCAUAUGGAUGGUUGGUUCAUACUGAUGGUUGGUUAAUACAGAUGGUUGGUUCAUACUGAUGGUUUGUUCAUACUGAUGGGUGGUACAUACGGAUGGGUGGUACAUACGGAUGGUUGGUUCAUACGGAUGGUUCAUACUGAUGGUUGGUUCAUACUGAUGGUUGGUUCAUACUGAUGGUUGGUUCAUACGGAUGGUUGGUUCAUACGGAUGGAUGGUUCAUACGGAUGGUUGGUUCAUACGGAUGGUUGGUUCAUACGGAUGGUUGGUUCAUACGGAUGGUUGGUUCAUACUGAU
ensembl:lncRNA